rnacentral:lncRNA from 1 species
UGGCAUUCUCCUAACAGGAUCAAGUUCCGCUUAGUUGUUGAUAUGGUUGAUGAAAUUGAACCAAAGAUUUUCAGUUGAUUUAUUUUCCUUUAACAAAAAAUAUUGGAGAACUCUUUGUCCUUCAUCUGUUUUUUAUUUUGAAAGUGUGCUUGUUUGGAACUUACUAAACCUUUCUAUACAUAGACAAUAUUUUCUGUUUCGAAAUCAAACUAAAACUCUGUCGUCUUGCACGGUGCUUCAGAAUUUUCCAAAUGGAUGGCCUAAAGAGGUACUGAGUGAUGCAGAGACACUUACAGAAGAGAGAAUAGAUUCUGUGUUGAGUGGAUUUUUGGAAGACUCUAAACGAGGUUUGCAAGACAUCAAAAUCUGGCCUCCUGUUUUUCCACCCUAUACAGUCUCGAAAGCCGCCUUGAACGCGUACACUAGGAUUUUGGCCAAAAAGUAUCCAAAUUUCUGCAUCAACUGUGGCAGCCCUGGAUUUGUCAAAACCGACAUGAGCUUCAAUGCUGGCAUCUUAACCAUCGACGAAGGUGCUGAAAGCAUUGUCAGGUUGGCGCUACUCCCCAACGGCGGUUCUACUGGCCUCUACUUUUCUAGGAAAGAAGUGGCACCUUUUUGAAGGUUCUUUUAUGUUUCAUGAAUAAUGAUCAUCAAUAGUGUGUGUACAUUGUAAUAAAUGAAGUUUACAAGCUUAUGUUAUAAUGUCAUGAAAAUUGACUUGUUGUUACAAUGCAGAGUGUCGUUCUCCUGGUCACCCAUUCACUCUUAGUCUCUUUCUCUUUGCCCUUGAUAUCAAUUAUGUUCAAAGAGAAUGUAAAAUGCUACAAGAUGAAGACAUGGUGAUUGGCUUUAUGACUUUAGUAGAUUUGAUUGAGAUGAGCGGUUUAUUUAUAGCUUGGUAAUGAGGAGGGCUUAAAGCUCAAACAGACAGAAAAGAAGCAAUACAACAAAAGGCCUAAAACUUGUAUUUUCUUGUGGGUGUAAAAAGAAAGCCCAAAGGCCCAUAAACCAAACCAAAACUUUUUUUUGUUUUUUGACAAAUGUGAUUCUAAAUUAGUCUAAUUUACGGGUGCAAGGAUAUGGGUACAUUACAGUGUACUAUCGUAGACUAGCUAACUCAUGAUUCCAAAUUGCACCAAAACUUCAAACUUUAAUGUCACAUCCCCGUCCGGGACGGAUCACUUCCCGGGCCCACUCCACCACUGUAGCACGAUAUUGUCCGCUUUGGGCCCUGACUACGCCUUCACGGUUUUUGUUUAUGAGAACUUCCCAGUGGGUCACCCAUCAUGGGAUUGCUCUCGCACACUACUCGCUUAACUUCGGAGUUCCGAUGGAACCCGAAACCAGUGAUCUCCCAAAAUGCCUCGUGCUAAGUAGGGAUGAGAAUAUACAUUUAAGGAUCACUCCUCUGGGCGAUGUGGGAUGUUACAAUCUGACACGCCCCGACCCUGAUAUUCCCCGAAUACCAGGAUAGACACGUGCUGGCCGACACCCGAGGGUGAUGAAAGCCAUUAAUUGAUACAAAAGCUAAGAAUAAGAAAUAAAUAAGGGUUAGAAAUUUAAAAUACAAAGAAUUAAUAAUUUAGGAACGUGUUCAGAGCAUACAACUAACUAGAGUUCUAAAAGAAUUAAUAUAAGAUUUAAUAAAUAACAGAUGUGGGUCCUACACCAAGAGGACUCGAAUAUGCCAAAGCGAAGACGUUGACAUCGGGAUCGUAUGCCUCGAUUCUAAAUCCUGAAAAGAGGCGCAAAACAAGGGUGAGUGGACCAAGUUUAUAUAUAUACAUAAUACAAAAACAGUUAUGAACAUACUAACCCCUAGGUUUAUAUAUAAUGAAAACUACUAGCAUAAAUAAGUGAUAAAUUUUCCUGAAACUCUAGCAUUCCAAAAAUAUCUCAAAAAUCAUAUCGCGGAAUAACAUCGCGGAAAUCAAAACAGUAAACAUCUCAUAGAUCGUCUCGUAAGCGCGGUGUGCUGCUAGUAAGAUCACUAAAUAAAUAUAACUCCCGGCCCAAUGCCUGUUUCGUGGUCUCUGCACCCGUAGCCAGAGAUUACCAACUCUCGACCUAAUGCCUGUCCCAUGUCCCUCAGCCCGUAGGUAGGGAUUAUUUCUCCCGGCCUAAAUGCCAACACCAGAUCCUCGCCUCAGGCGGCAUAGUGUCCUAGGUACGCAUAAAUAGUUACGCCUCUCAAAAAUAACUACUUCAUAGUAUAAAGUCAUCCAUCAUCUAUAUUAUAAAGAGGGGUUUCGAAAACAUGUUCUAGAAUCCUAUCGUCAUCCAUUAGAUAGUCUACCCGUUCAUGGUUUUUAUACAAAAUAUGAUAUAUUAAAAUAUAGCUCAAUAAAGGCCAACAAUUAAUUCCUCACCAAAACACGAAACGAAAAUCAAUAUAUUCAGUAAACAGACUUAACAUAAAAUCAAAUCAUAAACUCGAAAGGCAUGCUAUUCAUUUAUGCAAUUGAACUAUAAAAUCAUGUAAUUUUAGAUGGGGUCCACUCACAGUACUUCGCCAUCGAAAAGCUGCGCAGCUAACGAAUAUGCAAAAGCCACAAUAAUUGUCCCUAAGCACAUAAAGAGUCCAAUAAAUAAAACUAUAUAAUAGCAAUUGAAUUUGGGAAAACGGACAUUGGAAACGGAUUCAGAACGUCGAAUUACCUUAAGAAUGGUCCUGGAUAAAUUUCGUAAAAUUCCAUAGAAUAUUCUAGAGAAUAUUCCCUGAUGGAAAAUUCUCUAAUAGAAUAUUGGGUCGGUUAGGGUUUAGGGUUUAGGACUUGGGUUAGGGUUAAGUUCUAGAAUAAUGGGUUAAUGGGUUUAGGCUAAGGGCUAAGGGGUUUGGGUUAAGCUUUUAAAAAUGGUUGGGCUUUAAGAGUUUGGGUUUAUUUUCAAACAAUUAAUAUAAAUAAAAAUAAAAGGAUUUGGAUUGGGUUUAAGGGAAAAAGGGCUUAGGGUUUUAAGGGUUAAAAGAGUCCACGGGCCUAAGGCCCUAACUGAAUGGCCCAAGGGCCUUUGGGUUUCUAAUAGAAAAUAAACAAAUAAAAUAAAUAACAAAACAAAAAAGAUUGGGUUGCCUUAAGGUUUUGGGCUUAGACUCAACGGCCCGAAGGCCUGGUUUGAAAGGGCUUUGGGGCUUGAAAGCCCGGCCCGAGUUCCAAUUGUGGGUCGUCAGAUCCAUUUGAAAGAGAAGGUCGGAUUUCGGCCGGAAAACUGAACAAACUUUAAACGUUAAUAACUUUGUCGAUACUCAACGAAAUCAAGUAAUUCAAAAACGGAAAUCGUAGCCCUCGAAGAGACAAAGAGAAUGGUCCUCACAUGACGUCUAACUUGCUGUGGUUUGACCGCAAAAUGCCUCGAAAGCCUCAGAGGUCGCCUGAAACUGGGUAAGAUUCAAAUGAGUAUAAUUUCUUCAAUACUCAACGAAAUUGGGUGAAACAAAAAGGAAAGUUGUAGUACUCAACGAGACGAAGAGAUUGAUACCUUGCACGCUGGCCAACCGCCGUGGUUUGGCCGGAAGUUUCCUUGAAAGUGGCGAUCUGCGUCGGAGCUCGGGUACGGGGCUUCAUGGUUCGACUUCCAAGAUGCCAAGACUACGGUUGAGUUCGUAGUAACAAGAUAAAGACGAUGGUGAUGUUGAAAUUGUGAUUUGAUGAUGAUUUUAGGACAUAGGUUAUGGGUGUUGCACGGUGAAGGAGAAGAAGAAAAAGAGAAAAUGAGGGAGAGUGACGGGAAAGAGAGGGCAUAAGGAGACCAAAAAGGGAUUCCACGUGGCACACAAUUUAACAUAAAAAACAAUUUUAAAAGAAAAUAAUACUCAAAACAAAAUGAAAUUACAUUAUUUUUAGGGAUGGUGUUUUACAUUAAAAUCAAAAACAAAAAAUGUCAAAGUUAUACUCUAAAUCUCAUUACACUGAGAUUAAAACCUUAAAAAGCAAGUUUGUUUAUUUCUUUUAUUCUUGCUAUCAAAUUCAAAAAUGAGUGAUCAUGUACUCUUUGACUACCUACCUUAUGGCGAAGAUAACAUUUUUGGAGUUUUAUAUGACCUCAUUGUAUACCCUAUGUUAUAUGGUCUCAUUGCGCACCAAAAAAAAAAAAAAAGACACCAAAAUCGGGUCUCCUAUUUUUCCUGUACAGUUUCGAAAGCAGCCUUGAACGUAUAAACUAGGAUUCUGGCCAAGAAGUAUCCGACUUUCUGCAUCAAUUGUCUGAGCCUUGGAUUUGUCAAAACAGUAUAACCUUCAAUGUUGGCAUCUUAACCAUCGAUGAAGGUGCUGAAAGCCUUGUCAGGUUGGCUGGCGGUCCUACUGGUCUUUACUUUGGUCAGAAAGAAGUUGCAUCUUUUUUAGUACUUAAUAGUUUUUGCACAAUGUAACAGAUGAAGUAAGGGACUUUCGUAAUAGGGUAUGUGUGUGAUCAUCUCCCUAGAGAGUUUAUAUGAUGAUUAUGUAGUGCAAACAAAAUUUCUUAUAGAUUUAUUCAUUGUCCAAAAUAAGUAAAUGUCAAUGCUGCAAUUUGAGCAUUCGGCAAUGAACACUGUUGCAGUUUUUUGUAAACACAAUCCUUCAACCAUUUUAUUCCGCCUAUAAGUUAAUGCAUCGUCUCCUGGAUGCAAAAGAGCAUGAAGAGGUCGAGUGGAGUGAAACAUCGAGCCACAAACUACGAGUUUGCAGAAGAAAUAUGUUACUCUUCCAGCUAUCUGAUAUACCAAGAAUUGGCAAUAUUUUUCCGGCAAUCUUUGGUUCCUUCAUUCAGGAGCCUGGCUGAAAAAAUUCUUUAUUCAAUAUAGUUAUUCGAAAAUCGUAAAUGCAAUCAAGAAAAAUAUAUUCCAUAAGUUUCAACAGAUCUUGAAAAAUGAGACAAGUAGAAGUUGAUUACAGAGAGUAAAAAAGCAAAAAUAGAGAAUGUCGUUGAACUAUACACUACUGAACGAGCCUUGUGUCGCUAAAUGAAUCGAUUAGAAUCUUGUUUAACAUGGCCCGUAACUUUAUUUUCUGUGUAUCUUAAAUGAGGCCCAGAAGGAAGAAAAAAAUAGUCAACGUCAUAUGACCUCAAUGCAUACACAAUCUGCAAAUAGUUCAUAUAACCUCAUUGCAUAAGCAUCUGCAAAAAAAACUGACGAAUUGUAAGAAGCGUAGGAUUCUCUUCCAUCCUCUUUUCAUCCUCUCUUCUCAUAUUCUUUAUUUAUUUAUUUUUUCUUUUUUUAUAAAAAAAUUAAUAUAAAAUAUUGAGGUAGCUUAACCAUGACUGUUCAAAUAGAAUGGCAGGAAAGGGGAGGGAAAAAAAAAAGGAGAGAAUCCUACUCCUUAUUUAUAACAUCCAUUUUUUCUUAGGAAAACUAAUGAAAAAAAUUUGAAAAGAGUUUUAACGAUAAGAACAAAAUACAUAGUAAAGUGAAUAGUACUAUGAUUGACUUUUAGUAUAAAAAACUUUUGUUAAAGUUCCAUUUUUUUCUUGGACAAGGAUUGUCUGCCCUCCCCGUGCCUUCCUGUUUUGUGUGGUUAUGGUUAAGCCACGCCAACAUUUUAUAUUAUUUUUUUAUAAAUAUAAUAAAACAAAAAUAAAUAGUAAUAUAAAAUAUUGACGUCGUUUAACUAUGAGCAUAUAAAUAAAAAGGCACGAAAAGGGCAUUUUUUUCUUACCUAUUAUCUUUCUUUUUUUCUAUUCUUUUUCUUUUUCCAGAAUUUCUUAAUUUGGUUUUUCUGUCAGGUAUGCAGUUGUGACAGGAGCUAACAAAGGGGUUGGAUUUGGCACAGUUAAGCAGUUGGCUUCAAAAGGAGUCGUAGUUGUGUUAACUGCUAGAAAUGAGAAGAGGGGUCUUGAAGCUCUAGCGAAAGUGAAAGAUUUUGGCAUUUCUGAUCUGGUUGUUUUUCAUCAGCUUGAUGUAACAGAUUCUGCUAGCGCUGCUGUAUUGGCGGAUUUUGUGAAAACCCAAUUCGGAAAACUCGAUAUCUUGGUAUGUAAAUCUCAAACCUUGGAGCCGAUUUUUACUGGUUAGGUUAAGCAAUACAAUUUAUUAAUAAUUUCGGAUUACCUGCUGAUGAAUGAUGAUAUUUGCUUUAAUUUGUGUUUUAAGUUGAAGUAAACAUAACAAAGAUGGAACUUUUGUGCUGUGUAGGUAAAUAACGCAGCAAUUAAUGGAAGCAUAAUAAACCCUGAAGCUUUUAUAUCAGCUGCUACUGCUAAGGUGAGGUUCUGUAUAUAUACAUACAUAUAUGUAUAUAAAUUUAUAUGGAUCAGUAAAAGUUACAUCUAGGCAAAAAAUUUAUUAGACGCAAAGCAUUUUCUUGUGUAGCGGUUUUCGGACUCUAGUUUUCUCCUUUUGCAUCACUCUCCUUUUUUUUUUUCCCUUGAUUCUUCUUUGAUAUAUUCAAUCCAAAGGCUAGGAACAAAAAAGGAGUGAAAGGGUGAAGAGGGAGUGCGAAAUUCACUUCCCAGAUGUUUUUUAAGAUGAGGUUAGGAAUUAUUCAAUACUUCUGGGACACAAUCCUUGUACAAAUUUCAUUCUCUUGUAACUUCAAUUGGGAAAGUAAUGAUGGAAAACUUCAAAGGGGGUUAAUUAACGUCUUUCUCCCGGAUGUACAAGCCUGGUGAAAUCCAUUGGAGUGAAAUAUUGAUAACACCAAAGCUAUGAGUUAGCAGAAGAAUGCCUGAAAACAAACUACUAUGGUACAAAAAGAGUGACUGAAGCGCUUUUGCCCCUCCUCCAGCUAUCGGAUUCUCCAAGAAUCAUCAAUGUUUCUACCGGUGCUGCUAAGCUAAUGGUAUGGCAUUCUCCUAACAGGAUCAAGUUCCGCUUAGUUGUUGAUAUGGUUGAUGAAAUUGAACCAAAGAUUUUCAGCCGAUUUAUUUGCCUUUAACAAAAAAAUAUUGGAGAACUCUUUGUCCUUCAUCUGUUUUUUAUUUUUGAAGUGUGCUUGGUUGGAACUUACUAAACCUUUCUAUACAUAGAUGCAAUAUUUUCUGUUUCGAAAUCGAGCUAAAACUCUGUCGUCUUGCACGAUGCUUCAGAAUUUUCCAAAUGGAUGGCCUAAAGAGGUACUGAGUGAUGCAGAGACACUUACAGAAGAGAGAAUAGAUUCUGUGUUGAAUGGAUUUUUGGAAGACUCUAAACAAGGUUUGCAAGACACCAAAAUCUGGCCUCCUGUUUUUCCACCCUAUACAGUCUCGAAAGCAGCCUUGAACGCGUACACUAGGAUUUUGGCCAAAAAGUAUCCAAAUUUCUGCAUCAACUGUGGCAGCCCUGGAUUUGUCAAAACCGACAUGAGCUUCGAUGCUGGCAUCUUAACCAUCGACGAAGGUGCUGAAAGCAUUGUCAGGUUGGC